AGUGAGUGAUGUUUCGGACAAUUUUCGACGCCAAUGCCGGAGAGGGUUUGGGCCAGCCAACUCCUGAUUCCUCAGAGAAGGGAGAGCCGGGGUUCCUUUGGAGGUCAUGGGCUUGUUGCUCGGAAGCUUCCCUGACGAAUACACAACUCAUGUUGUGGACGUCGUUGCGAUGCCGCAGCGUGGUACUGGUGUCAGUGUCGAGGCCAUAGAUCAUGUCUUCCAGACUGAUGUGCUCGAUAUGCUUAAGCAAACUCAACGACAUGAGAUGGUCGUAGGCUGGUACCAUUCGCAUCCUGGAUUUGGCUGUUGGUUAUGUGGCGCAGGGAUUUGAAGCCUUAAAUUGACGUGCUGUGGCUGUGGUGGUGACCCCAUUCAGAGUGUCAAGGGUAAGGUGGUUAUCGACGCUUUCCGCCUUAUUAACCCAAAUACGUGAUGCUUGGCCAAGAACCACAUCCAAUCUUGGCCAUCUUAACAAACCAUCCUGUCAAGCAUUGAUCCAUGGGUUAAACCGGAAUUAUUACUCCCUAGCAGUAAAUUUCAGGAUGAAUGGACUUGAGGAGAAAAUGUUGCUUAGCCUUCAUAAGAAGAAAUGGACUGAUGGGCUGACGAUGAGGCAAUUUGAUGCUCAUUCAAAAACAAACGAGCAGACUC